AGAAGGGUCCCUCACACAGGUCACCAAGGCCUGGCCUGAGGCUUCCCAAUGGAACAGCUUCUUCUCAGCUGUGCACUUCUUCUGUCUUUGGAACAAACUUGAUAAAUUUAGCACGUUCAACCCCCGGAUGACAGGGGAUAUGGAAACAGAGAUUCUUGCAGCUAUAAUUAUGGGGAGGUUUAGCGUAGCCAGGCUGGGGCCACCCAGAGCUGAAACACUGGGGGUGCCUAUGCUGCCAGCCAGCUGUCCUCUGUGGUCUGCCCUGUAAGAAAACACUGCUUUUCUGAUGUCUGUAAAUCAUACUUGAUGCAUGAUUCUCCUCAGUAGGCCUCUUGGCCAGCAGCAGGAGCACCCCCCGGGCUCUGUGCUUCCCUCUGGUUCCUGCUGUUUCCAGGGUUCCCUACAGCACAGCAUCCACUGAGAGCAGCAUCCACGCUGGGCAGUAUUUGGUUGUUAUUACUGAGUGAAAGAGCCCUGCAUUGAGCUGGCAGCCAGAGGCCUGAAUGCUAUUCUGGUCAUGGGGAAUGCAGCAGUAUUGCAGCACAGGAGUCUGGGUGAUGGACAGAGAAGAAAAGUCACAAGGAACUUAGCUCUACUGGGCUCACUGCUCAGAGGACAAGAAAUCUUCCAGAUCAGUGUACAUCAAAGAGAAAACUAUUCAAAAUACAACCAUGAGCUUUUAUUGAAUAUGACUCUGGAUUCUGUGCAAUGCCAAUAUCUAUAUAGAUGCACUGUAAUAACAAGAUUUGCAUCUUAAAUUUGCUUUGCACUGCUUGGGCAGUGUUAGCAAAUACUGCUACCUUGAAAAUCACUACACUGACUUUAUUUAUACUUCUUUAUCUUAACAAGACCUUGUAAAGUUUUCUCUUUAGAAUAGGUGGCAAUGAGAUCACAGGGAAAUACCCGGAAAUGAAAGGCAGUUCCUUCUCAUCUUAUUUGCAUGGCACUGUUCUGGGUUUUGUAUGGCUUUCACACAGACAAAGAGGUCUGAACAGGUGUUUGUGGAGGUGGUGGGUCAAAUUCCCAUCUGAAAUGUUUAUAUUGCAAGGAUUAAAGUGGUUAUAAUUCAAGGAUUAGAUUGCAUUAAGCGACAUAAAGUCCUGGCCUGGCAUUUAUUUUAAUUGCUUUCAAGUCAGUAAGUGUGUUUCCAAAUAAACAAACGGAGCUGAUGCUGCCCGGGAUUUAAGGUCAGCGUGCCGGGGUGCUGCGCUCUGCUGGGCUUCGUUCGUCUCGAUUCCUGCUUCCAACGCCGCCACCUAGCGACUCAGGGAGUGCAGCAAACCUGGCCGUUGGACCCCUGCAGCACAAGGUAGUGACAGUGGAUAUAUCAGAGACAGCUG
ensembl:lncRNA